rnacentral:misc_RNA from 1 species
UUUCCGUAGGUGAACCUGCGGAAGGAUCAUUAAAGAGUAAGGGUCUUCGGGCCCGAUCUCCAACCCUUUGUUUAACUACCAUGUUGCUUUGGCGGGCCCGUCUCACGACCGCCGGAGGUUUGGCUUCGACCAAACUUCUGGCCCGUGCCCGUCAGUGGCCCCUUCAAAUUCUUGAUCAAGUAUGAUGUCUUAGUUAAAAACUUAAUAGUUAAAACUUUCAACAACGGAUCUCUUGGUUCUGGCAUCGGUGAAGACCGCGGC